AAUGAAACGUAAUAAUCGUACAUUCGAAUAGAAUAUAGGUACAAAAAUUGCAUUACUACCAAAUAGUAUCCCAGUGGCUAAGUAAAUAAGUGUGUACUUAAAACCUAAAUAAAUACCAUUUUUGUUUUUACAGUUAAAUUAGUAAAAUUGUCGGUGUUUUUGAUUAUUUCUGUAUGUAAAAUCUUUAAAUUAAUGAUAAGCUAAUAAAUAAUAAUUACUACUUGUAUAUUAUGUUAGAAAUAAUCUUUUUACAGAUAAUGAACAUUUUGUCGAGUGUCAUACUUGAAUUAUUUGAUGGACACACAUUUUUACAUUUAAAGGAAUCAAUUUUCAACACUGGGCAGUAACAGUGCUGUGAUAUCCAAGAUGUCUAUAAAAUAUGCCUAGAUAAUUAGUGCUUAUUAAUCAGUCUUGAAUGUUUUCAUACAGCCAUUGUUACUGGCGAUACAGUCAUUUGCUAUUGAAUAUAGAAUUAUGUGUGGCCGAAGUUAAAGAGAUGCUAAGUAUUUAGAUAAAAUAAAUAAAUUACAAAAUAUUUUAAAUUAUAAAAAAAAGGGAAUAUAUUUUCAACUCAGUAUCUAAAGCGUUAGGUACAUAUUAAGUGUUUAUAUGUUAUUUGUUUUAUGAUUAUUUUAAUUAUUUUACUUAUUAAAAAAAUUAAUAUUAUGCCAUUAUAAUGUAGGUAGAUCACAUUAUACUCAAAUAUGCCAUUAGAAGAAUUUGUUUGUCGGGUACAACGAAUGACAAAGUAUACAAGUAGACGAAUACCUUUUUGAUGGAACGUAAAAAAAUUAUAAGUAACAUUAGAAUUACUACCGUGUAAAUGUAGAACAUAUUUGGUACACCAAACUUCUUUCUCAGAGUAAGGUUUAUUUUGAAUUAAUUUUAUUAUUUGGAAAUUCAAUAUUUCCAAUUUGUAUUCAUUUACAGAUAUCUAAGACAAGGAAAAUUUCAAUGACUACUUUGAAUGGAUAUAAUUCAAACUCAAACUGCACUUCAAAUCCACUUCAUAGAUGAACUCAAAGGGACUCAUUAGUAUUAGCUCUCUAGUGUUUAAAUUUUAUAUGAUAUUGUCAGAACUUAGUAUUUCAAGAAUAGGAAAUUUAUAUUUUUUGUAUAGAUAUAUCUGAGGAUUUUCUAAAUUGUGUUUCACAACCUAAGAGUCACAAUGUUCAUAAACUAAUAAAGAAAAAUUUAUAUAUAUAUAAAUGUAAGAAAAAUAUCUUGAUUGUAUCUGUAUGCCCAUACAAAAAAAGAGGACUCAGGAAUUUCACUGAUAUUAAAACAAAUUAUUUUAUUACAUUUAAAUCAAUACUUAAUUGCAGUAAAUAGUUAUUUCCAAAAGACAUUUUUGAUUUCACAAUUUUUAAUGGGUUGAAAAUCCUAUCAUUAUUUCC
rnacentral:lncRNA from 1 species